rnacentral:lncRNA from 1 species
UUUUUUUUUCUUGGCGAACUGGGGUUUGGAGAGUUUUAGUUUGUUACUCAGACUUUUUUUGUGUAGCUUUUCUUCUUUUUGUUUCACUUUAUAUAAAGGAGAUCUUCUCAGUAGACAGUAUAAAUUGUAAAAGUACUGAGAAUGACGAAGAAAUUCUGUGAUUAUGGUGGUGACAUUUCAGUGAACAUUCUUGCAGAUACAUAUGCGCAGGUGCCUAGAAAAGUAUUUGUGUGUGUCUCUCAUUUUACAUGAACUCUAGUCUCUAUUCCUUUCAAGUCAGCACAAUGUUACAAGCACUUUUCUGUUUCUGAAUGUAAGUGUUUAUCGUUCUAGUUAAUGACUGCACAGUGCCCCAUUCUGUGGGUAGAGAUCCGUAUAUGAGGAUAAACUACAAUCACCUUGGCCCGCUCACUUUCCCCUCAUGGAGAAGCCUCAAGUUUCUCUGGGAUCCUGAAGACAGAACCUUCCCUGAACUGGGCUUUUAUUUGAGCAGACGUCCUCCAGAGAGCACAGACUGACUGGGCCACAGCUGUCCAUGGGAAUAUGGAGAAUCAUAGAAAUAUGGAGAGGCCAGGUGCAGUGGCUCAGACUCAUAAUCCCAGCGUUAUGGGAGGCUGAGGCAGGAGGACUGAGACCAGGGGUUUGAGACCAGCCAGGGCAACACAGUGAGACCUCAUUUCUACCAAAAAAUGUUUAAAAAUUAGCUCGGCAUGGGCCGGACGUGGUGGCUCACACCUAUAAUCCCAACACUUUAGGAAGCCAAGGGGGUGGAUUGCUUGAAUCCAGGAGUUCAAGACCAGCAAGAGUUCAAGACCAGCCUGGGCAACAUGGUGAAACCCCAUCUCUACUAAAAAUACAAAAAUUAGCCAGGUGUGGUGGCGUGCGUGCCGACAGUUCCAGCUACAUGGGGGAGCUGAGGCUGGAGGAUCACUUGAGCCCAGGAGGCUGAGGCUGAAAUGAGUCGAGAUCACGCCACUGCACAACAACUUGGAUGACAGAAUGAGACCCUGUUUCAAAAGGGGGGAAAAAAUGGAUAGAGUGAGGUGUGCCACUUGCAGGCCUGAACUCUAAGACCACCCUCGUAUUCUCUGUGAUUUCUUCCCUCAACUCCUGACCAGAUGCAGAGCAUCCCGCAGAAGUGGCUUGGAUCCCUGAACCCCCUUGUGGAAGGCCACCCGCAAACCCUUGACUGCUCUGUGACAGGAGCAAGAAACAACUUUAUUGCUUGGAGCCUAAGAUUUGGGGUUGGUGGGUGCAGCAGUUAGACAACCCUAAUACAGGCCACUAAACGCUUAGUCUGUCCCCAGAAGGACCCGUAACAUGUUCCUCGUUCCCUAAGACGUGUCUCCAGUAGAGACUACGGCUUGCCCUUCUCUCUCUGGUGAAGGCUGCACAGGUCAAGGAGCAGGAUGGGUGUUUCCGUCCCUGAUGGCCGCCUCCACUCAGGGAAGCGCCCUGCUCCUGUGAGCCUCAUGACAGUUUUCUGGGUCACCUCCAGCCUUCCUAGUGGCUGUUCUCUCCCCAAGAUGCCUUCGUCCCUUUUCUUGCAGAGUUCUCCUAUAUUCCAGGUCCUUCCGUUGUCCUGAGUGACCCUGGCAUCCCUGUGAAUGACUGGUGCGUUGCUUUGACCUACCCCCCCAUGACUGUGAUCUGAAGAUUCUCACCUCCACUCCACUCGAGUCACCCAUGGCCUGGCCUGGCCCAGCCCUGGCACCCCCUGGACUGCUGCACCUCUGAUCCUACAGGCAUAGGCAGCCCUUGAAGCCCACCGCUGGCUCUCCUUGUAGCUUCUCACCCUCUUGUCCCUACCACAUGGUCCUCUGAGUCCCAACUGCACCGAGGGUCCUGAGGGUCCUUCUGCCUCACCCACCUAUCUUGGAUCCUUGGUUUUUACUCUGUCCAGCUCAGAUCCCAAAGAUGCCGACCAAGCCCUUGCCUGAGAGCCUCCCACCACCCCUGCACUGGGGCCGUGCCCUGGGCGGAUCUGGCUUUCUGUCUCCUCCAUCAUGCUGAGCACACAUUUGCUCAUCUAUUUCCUUUAAACUCAUGACUACGCCCCUUCUCCGUGGGCUCCUGCGCUGCACAGCAGCCUCCUCAUCUCCCACUUCCUUGAGUAUUUCCUGUUCCUCCUCUCUUCUUGGUGGGUCACACAGAUGCCUGC